AUUGCUUAUUGCUUAUUGCUUAUUGCUUAUUCCGAUUAUGUCUUCCAAGUUUAGGUGUAUGAGACUAUUCCGAUUAUCGGAAUGAAAUAUGCUAAUCAUGUUGCUAAGAGUUGCCCAUGGAUUUUAAAUUGGAGUGCUACUUCCACAUCGAGGUUCACCGAGCUCCAACAAAUCUUUUUGGACUACAAUUUAUCUUUGUGUUCGUUGCUUAAACCUACUUUGGAGGAAUGUCAACAAGAUUAUUACAAGUAUUUGAAUAAGUUAGGGUCAGUGAAUGGUGUUCCUCCAUAAAUUUUAAGCCAACCAACAACCCCAGAACAUGAUACUAUGGGUGACCUAAAAGAUGAAGAUCACCCGGUUGAAGCUACUGCAUAUGUUGCUGUUGCUGCUGCUAUAUUGGAAAACAAGAACAAAAAUGAUUAUUCUAUCCCACUUUCAAUUGAGCUUCCUUUCACAGACCCUAAAAAGAGAAGGAAAAUUAGAAAGGAAGGGGAAACAACAUUUGACUUCAAUCAUUUGCAAUAUAUUUUUGAGGAAGCAAGAGAAGCCUUUCAUAAGUGGUUGAGUCUUCAACAAGGCAUAUUGAUGUUGCUUUCUACUUUUUCUGCAAGCGGAGAAUAGAAAAGCCCCAUGCAUUUUCUCAAAAUUUUACCACCACAGAUACAAUGUUUUGGAGCAAAAUGUGAAAGCAAGGUGGGAGAAGCAUGCUAAAAAGUGGAAUCAAUUCCAAAUGCAAGCAGAUGAUAUUCUUAUUAACUAUGUUAAUGGGCUUCACCCAAUUCUUUCCAUGAAAUGGUCUGAGGUGGACAUCAUCUAUGUCCCUAUUAAUGUCUGAAGUAUGCAUUGGGUAUUAGGAGUAGUUCACCUUGCUCAAAGGAGAAUAUUUGUGUGUGACUCAUUGAUAGACAUUAAUAGUGAUAAUCGACUAAAAGGUGUCAUAAUACCUUUAGUUAAAGUGUUACCGCAUAUUUUGCAUGCUACAUCAUAUUAUGAGAAGAGCGGUGAUCCUAAGAGUUAAGAACAGUGGGACAUUGAACAAUUGCAUGAUGUUCCUCAACAAGAGUAUGAUGGUGAUUGUGGGAUGUUCCUAAUUAAAUAUGCAGAAUACUUAAUGCAUGAUCAUCCAUUCAGCUCACUAACCGAUGCCUGCAUUGAUUGGUUUAAAGAGAAAAUGACAACUGAAUUGUUAUACUUCAAAAAUUUACCCAUGUAGUGGGUUUCAUUUUGAUUAUGUAAAAGGUUGUUGAGUGUUGGUUAUUUUGGAUGAAUUUGACUUG